GCCCCCCUCUCAGGAAUAGCCCAGCGAAACUUGGAUUAAUGCCCCACGGUAGCCGGACAUCGCACGAUGCCUUGUUUAAAAAUAUUUCGGACAGGGAUGCCCAUGCGCACCAUUAGCUUGUUGGGGGGGUAACGGCCCACCAAGGAUACGAUGGUUAGGGGCCCUGAGAGGGGGAUCCCCCACACUGGUACUGAGACACGGACCAGACUCUUACGGGAGGCAGCAGUGAGGAAUAUUGGACAAUGGCCGGGAGGCUGAUCCAGCCAUGCCGCGUGCAGGAUGACCGCCCUAUGGGUCGUAAACUGCUUUUGUACGGGAAGAAACCCCCCCACGUGUGGGGGGCUGACGGUACCGUAAGAAUAAGGACCGGCUAACUCCGUGCCAGCAGCCGCGGUAAUAC
rnacentral:rRNA from 1 species